GAUGAAGAACGCAGCGAAAUGCGAUAAGUAAUGUGAAUUGCAGAAUUCAGUGAAUCAUCGAAUCUUUGAACGCACAUUGCGCCCGCCAGUAUUCUGGCGAGCAUGCCUGUUCGAGCGUCAUUUCAACCAUCAAGCCCCAGGCUUGUGUUGGAACCCUGCGGCUGCCGCAGCCUCCCAAAACCAGUGGCGGGCUCGCUAUCACACCGAGUGCAGUAGUUUACUCUUCGCUCAGGGCGUGUGGCGGGUGCUAGCCGUGAAACCCCCAACUUCUCAAGGUUGACCUCGGAUCAGGUAGGAAUACCCGCUGAACUUAAGCAUAUCAAUAAGCGGAGGA
rnacentral:misc_RNA from 1 species